rnacentral:misc_RNA from 1 species
CAAUAAGAGUGUUUAUGGCACUCUUCAAAAAAAUCCAUACCCACCUUGUGUGCAACGUAAGAAGAAAGAAACGCAGGUCAUGGGGGAAACCCCAAGACUAGCCUUUUUUUCUUUUCCACAUACACCUUUCUAUAAGUUCCUAUUGUCUGAAGCUGUUAGAGAAUGACUAAUUCUUAAACA